UUCCGGUUGAUCCCGCCGGACCCUAUUGCUAUCGGGGUGAGACUAAGCCAUGCGAGUUGUGCGCUCCCUAGCCACGUUGGGAGAGCAGCGAACGGCUCCGUAACACGUAGUUAAUCUGCCCUUAGGACAGUUAUAACCCUGGGAAACUGGGGCUAAUGUUUGAUAGAUGAAAACGCCUGGAAUGGUUUUUCGUCUAAAAGUUUUUAGAAACAUGCUUCUGAAAAUGCCUAAGGAUGAGACUGCGGCCGAUCAGGCUGUUGGUGAGGUAACGGCUCACCAAACCUAUUACCGGUACGGGCUCUGAAAGGAGUAGCCCGGAGAUGGGAACUGAGACAAGGUCCCAGGCCCUACGGGACGCAGCAGGCGCGAAAACUCCACAAUGCGCGAAAGCGUGAUGGGGUUACCCCGAGUGCCAUCCGUUGAGGAUAGCUUUUCACUAGUGUAAGGAGCUAGUGGAAUAAAGGGGGGGCAAGUCUGGUGUCAGCCGCCGCGGUAAUACCAGCCCCCUGAGUGAUAGGGACGAUUAUUUAGCCUAAAGCGUCCGUAGCCGGCUUUGUAAGUCUUUCGUUAAAUCUGACGACUUAAUCGCCAGACCGCGGAAGAUACUGCUAGGCUAGAGGGUGGGAGAGGUUGACGGUAGUCCUGGGGUAGGGGUGAAAUCCUAUAAUCCCAGGAGGACCACCAGUG
rnacentral:rRNA from 1 species